CAUGAGUGGCGGACGGGUGAGUAACGCGUGGGCAACCUGGCCUGUACAGGGGGAUAACACUUAGAAAUAGGUGCUAAUACCGCAUAACGGGGGAAGCCGCAUGGCUUUUCCCUGAAAACUCCGGUGGUACAGGAUGGGCCCGCGUCUGAUUAGCCAGUUGGCAGGGUAACGGCCUACCAAAGCGACGAUCAGUAGCCGGCCUGAGAGGGCGGACGGCCACACUGGGACUGAGACACGGCCCAGACGCCUACGGAAGGCAGCAG
rnacentral:rRNA from 1 species